rnacentral:rRNA from 1 species
UACGCAGGGUGCGAGCGUUGUCCGGAAUUAUUGGGCGUAAAGAGCUUGUAGGCGGUUUGUCGCGUCUGCCGUGAAAAUUCGAGGCUCAACCUCGAACUUGCGGUGGGUACGGGCAGACUAGAGUGUGGUAGGGGAGACUGGAAUUCCUGGUGUAGCGGUGAAAUGCGCAGAUAUCGGGAAGAACACCCGUGGCGAAGGCGGCCCCCUGGGUCGGCCCUGACGCUGAGGCGCGAAAGCGUGGGGAGCGAACGGG